rnacentral:rRNA from 1 species
GAUGAACGCUGGCGGCGUGCCUAAUACAUGCAAGUCGAACGCUGGAAAUCUAGCUUGCUAGAUUGAAGGAGUGGCGAACGGGUGAGUAAUACAUAAGCAACCUACCCACGAAGACUGGGAUAAUCUCUGGAAACGGGGACUAAUACCGGAUAGGUAAUCGGAAGGCAUCUUCUGAUUAUUAAAGGUUAAAAACACUGGUGGAUGGGCUUAUGGCGCAUUAGUUAGUUGGUGAGGUAACGGCCCACCAAGACGAUGAUGCGUAGCCGGCCUGAGAGGGUGAACGGCCACAUUGGGACUGGGACACGGCCCAGACUCCUACGGGAGGCAGCAGUAGGGAAUGUUAGGCAAUGGGGGAAACCCUGACCGAGCAACGCCGCGUGAGUGAUGACGGCCUUCGGGUUGUAAAGCUCUGUUGUAAGGGAAGAACGGUAGAUAGAGAAUAUCUAAAUGACGGUACCUGAACAGAAAGCCACGGCUAACUACGUG